rnacentral:rRNA from 1 species
AUGGCGGCGGCCUUGGCGGCGGGCGUCGGCGUGCUGCUGCCGUUCCCGUUCUACUGGGCGCUGUGGACGCGCCCGCAGCGGUGGGUGGACCUGUGCGGCCCGGGCGCCGACCCGUGCCGCCGCAUGGCGCAGGUCUCCCACGUCCUCAAGGCGCUCCAGCUCCUCGCCCUCGCCUCCGUCGCCUCCUUCUCCUGGCCCCCUCCUCUCUGCGCCCUCCCCCUCCUCGCCUUCGGCCAGUACCUCAACUUCAAGGUGUACCAGCUGCUGGGCGAGUCGGGUACCUACUACGGCGUCCGGUUCGGGAAGAAGAUCCCGUGGGUGACGGAGUUCCCCUUCGGCUACAUCAAGGACCCGCAGUAUGUGGGGAGCAUCCUGAGCCUCGUGGCGCUGCUGUGCUGGGUUCCCUUCCAGUAUGUUGUGUUGUGGUGCCUCGGCUAUGUUUUCAUGAUUUUGGUGGAAGACAAGGAAGAUCCAGCCACCCGUGCCAAGUUGCUCUCCUGA